UACGUAGGGGGGCAAGCGUUGUCCGGAUUUAUUGGGCGUAAAGAGCGUGUAGGCGGUUUGGUAGGUCCGCUGUGAAAACUCGAGGCUCAACCUCGAGAUGCCGGUGGAAACCAUCAGACUAGAGUCCGGAAGAGGAGAGUGGAAUUCCUGGUGUAGCGGUGAAAUGCGCAGAUAUCAGGAAGAACACCCGUGGCUAAGGCGGCUCUCUAGUACGGUACUGACGCUGAGACGCGAAAAGCGUGGGGGAGCGAACAGG
rnacentral:rRNA from 1 species